rnacentral:rRNA from 1 species
AAUGAACGCUGGCGGCAUGCCUUACACAUGCAAGUCGAACGGCAGCAUGACCUAGCUUGCUAGGUUGAUGGCGAGUGGCGAACGGGUGAGUAAUGCAUCGGAACGUGCCUUUUAGUGGGGGAUAACGUAGCGAAAGUUACGCUAAUACCGCAUAUUCUCUGAGGAGGAAAGCAGGGGACCUUCGGGCCUUGCGCUAGAAGAGCGGCCGAUGUCGGAUUAGCUAGUUGGUGAGGUAAAGGCUCACCAGGGCAACGAUCCGUAGCGGGUCUGAGAGGAUGAUCCGCCACACUGGGACUGAGACACGGCCCAGACUCCUACGGGAGGCAGCAGUGGGGAAUUUUGGACAAUGGGCGCAAGCCUGAUCCAGCCAUGCCGCGUGAGUGAAGAAGGCCUUCGGGUUGUAAAGCUCUUUCGGCUGGGAAGAAAUCGCACCCUCUAAUACAGGGUGUGGAUGACGGUACCAGCAUAAGAAGCACCGGCUAACUACGUG